rnacentral:rRNA from 1 species
UGCCUACGGGUGGCAGCAGUAGGGAAUAUUGGACAAUGGGCGAAAGCCUGAUCCAGCAACGCCGCGUGCGCGAUGACGGCCUUCGGGUUGUAAAGCGCUUUUAGAGGAGAUGAGAAAGGACAGUAUCCUCUGAAUAAGCCUCGGCGAACUACGUGCCAGCAGCCGCGGUAAAACGUAGGAGGCUAGCGUUAUUCGGAUUUAUUGGGCGUAAAGCGCGUGCAGGCGGUCUAGCAAGUUGGAUGUGAAAGCUCCUGGCUCAACUGGGAGAGGUCGUUCAAUACUGUUAGACUAGAGAAUGGGAGAGGGAGGUGGAAUUCCGGGUGUAGUGGUGAAAUGCGUAGAUAUCCGGAGGAACACCAGUGGCGAAAGCGGCCUCCUGGACCAUUUCUGACGCUAAGACGCGAAAGCUAGGGUAGCAAACGGGAUUAGAUACCCUGGUAGUCG